rnacentral:rRNA from 1 species
GAACGCUGGCGGCAGGCUUAACACAUGCAAGUCGAGCGGGGAAAGGUAGCUUGCUACCUGACCUAGCGGCGGACGGGUGAGUAAUGCUUAGGAAUCUGCCUAUUAGUGGGGGACAACAUUCCGAAAGGAAUGCUAAUACCGCAUACGCCCUACGGGGGAAAGCAGGGGAUCUUCGGACCUUGCGCUAAUAGAUGAGCCUAAGUCAGAUUAGCUAGUUGGUGGGGUAAAGGCCUACCAAGGCGACGAUCUGUAGCGGGUCUGAGAGGAUGAUCCGCCACACUGGGACUGAGACACGGCCCAGACUCCUACGGGAGGCAGCAGUGGGGAAUAUUGGACAAUGGGCGAAAGCCUGAUCCAGCCAUGCCGCGUGUGUGAAGAAGGCCUUUUGGUUGUAAAGCACUUUAAGCGAGGAGGAGGCUACUGAGAUUAAUACUCUUGGAUAGUGGACGUUACUCGCAGAAUAAGCACCGGCUAACUCUGUGCCAGCAGCCGCGGUAAUACAGAGGGUGCGAGCGUUAAUCGGAUUUACUGGGCGUAAAGCGUGCGUAGGCGGCUUUUUAAGUCGGAUGUGAAAUCCCUGAGCUUAACUUAGGAAUUGCAUUCGAUACUGGGAAGCUAGAGUAUGGGAGAGGAUGGUAGAAUUCCAGGUGUAGCGGUGAAAUGCGUAGAGAUCUGGAGGAAUACCGAUGGCGAAGGCAGCCAUCUGGCCUAAUACUGACGCUGAGGUACGAAAGCAUGGGGAGCAAACAGGAUUAGAUACCCUGGUAGUCCAUGCCGUAAACGAUGUCUACUAGCCGUUGGGGCCUUUGAGGCUUUAGUGGCGCAGCUAACGCGAUAAGUAGACCGCCUGGGGAGUACGGUCGCAAGACUAAAACUCAAAGGAACUG